AAACAGAGGGAAGCGAGCCCGCGAGGGGGGAGGCAAAUCCCAAAAAUAACGUCCCAGUUCGGAUUGUAGUCUGCAACUCGACUACAUGAAGCUGGAAUCGCUAGUAAUCGCGGAUCAGAAUGCCGCGGUGAAUACGUUCCCGGGUCUUGUACACACCGCCCGUCACACCAUGGGAGUCGGAAAUGCCCGAAGUCAGUGACCCAACCGAGAGGAGGGAGCUGCCGAAGGUGGAGCCGGUAACUGGGGUGAAGUCGUAACAAGGUAUC
rnacentral:rRNA from 1 species